GAGCGGGAACAGCUCUUAGCCUCACGGAGCCUGUCGGGCAGUCCUGACGUGGAGGAGUGUGGUGAGCACCAAACCUAGCCCCCACCCCAACCCUUCCUGGCCCAGUCAGAAGCCCCAUUCCAGUUCUUCCUCUAACCUGAGUAAGAUUCUGCAGAACCCGGCCAAAGCCCGCUCUCUAGGUUGGCCCCUAAAGCCCUCUUGGCUUGAGUAGGGUUCGGGGAUCUCCGUUCCCAGCUCCCAACACCGGACAGUGCCACCUGUGCCUGCCUCCCUCGGAGCCCUGGGACCAGACCCUGGGAGUGGUCAACUUCCCCAGAAAGGCCAGCCGCAAGCCCCCCAGGGAGGAGAGCUCUGCCACCUGUGUUCUGGAACAGCCUGGGGCCCUUGGGGCCCAAAUUCUGCUGGUGCAGAGGCCCAACUCAGGUCUGCUGGCAGGACUGUGGGAGUUCCCGUCCGUGACCUGGGAGCCCUCAGAGCAGCUUCAGCGCAAGGCCCUGCUGCAGGAACUACAGCGUUGGGCUGGGCCCCUCCCAGCCACGCGCCUCCGGCACCUUGGGGAGGUUGUCCACACCUUCUCUCACAUCAAGCUGACGUAUCAAGUAUAUGGGCUGGCCUUGGAAGGGCAGACCCCAGUGACCACCGUACCACCAGGUGCUCGCUGGCUGACCCAGGAGGAAUUUCACACCGCAGCUGUUUCCACCGCCAUGAAAAAGGUUUUCCGUGUGUAUCAGGGCCAACAGCCAGGGACCUGUAUGGGUUCCAAAAGGUCCCAGGUGUCCUCUCCGUGCAGUCGGAAAAAGCCCCGCAUGGGCCAGCAAGUCCUGGAUAAUUUCUUUCGGUCUCACAUCUCCACUGAUGCACACAGCCUCAACAGUGCAGCCCAGUGACACCUCUGAAAGCCCCCAUUCCCUGAGAAUCCU
rnacentral:sRNA from 1 species